AUCUACGGCCACACACCCUGAACACGCCCGAUCUCAUCUGAGCUCGGAAGCUAAGCAGGGUUGGGCUUGGUUAGUACUUGGAUGGGAGACCCAAGGAAGAGAGGAAA
rnacentral:rRNA from 1 species